AUCUUAGCUAUGCCUGAGGAUUGUGCAGAUGGGGAAGAUGAGGAGGAGGAAGAGGAGGACGAGCUUGCAGAGACCACACAGCACUCCGUUUUCCCCAACAGCCAGGAGCCCUCCCAGUCCUCCCACGGCAUUAUCCCAGACCAUGAAGCCAUGGAAGGGACCUCUGCUCCAAAUUUUUCAAGCCUCCCUCCUCUGUCCCGAAGGCUAUCUCAGAUAAGGCAGCGGAAAAAAAAAGACACGAGAUGAAAUGUUCUCAGAAAUCAUGGAAGUAACCCGCAAUGAAAGAGCUCAUCUGAAUGAGCGGAAGGACGUGGUAGCAAAGUACAGGAAAGAUGCCAGUGACCGUGAGGAGAGGAAGGACGAACGUGAGGAGAGGAGAGACGCUUGAGAUGAGAGGUGGCGGCAGGAAGAUCAGAGGAGGCAUGAUGCAACGCUGGGGCUGCUGCAUGAUCAAACUGACAUACUCCAGCGUCUGGUGGAGCUUCAGGAAUGGCAGCAGGAUCACAGAGUGCCACUGCAGCACCUGUAUAACCACCCUCCCCCCUCACCAUGUUCCAUAGCCUCCUCAUCCAGAUGUGGAAGAACGCGUGGGAGGAGGCUCCAUGGACCUGCCCACUGCACCCCAGUGGACAGCCCAAGCAAAAGGCUGUGUCAUUAUUUUGAAAUUUUUUUAGUGGCCUUUUCCUUCCCUCCUAUUCUCCUCCCAAACCCCACCCAGGCUACCUUGUCAGUUCUCUUCCUCUUUUUAUAAUCAAUUAAUAAAGAAUACAUGAUUUUUAAA